rnacentral:rRNA from 1 species
UACAGCGGUCUCGAGCGUUGUUCGGAUUCAUUGGGCGUAAAGGGCGCGUAGGCGGCGGGGUAAGUCUGGUGUGAAAUCUCGGAGCUCAACUCCGAAAUUGCACUGGAUACUGCUCUGCUAGAGGGCUGGAGAGGAGAUCGGAAUUCACGGUGUAGCAGUGAAAUGCGUAGAUAUCGUGAGGAAGACCAGUGGCGAAGGCGGAUCUCUGGACAGCUCCUGACGCUGAGGCGCGAAGGCUAGGGGAGCAAACGGG